UAUUUUUUUUCCUUGUUUUAUUAUUUUUCCUGUUAAUAUAUAUAUAUAAUGUCAUACAUUUGGAUCGGAUUUAAACUGGAUAUACAUGUGGAGGAUUAUCAUUUAUUUCAGAUCCGAAAAUGUUAAUUUACAAUGCCUUUCAUUUUAUCCUUCAUCGUGUAGGAGAUGCUAUAUCUCAUGCAUUUCUAGUUCUUUGAUUCAUUAGGCAAGCCUUACCGUUUAUGGAUCGAUUUAUGUCUAAAUGCCAAGUUUUUUUUUU
rnacentral:misc_RNA from 1 species